rnacentral:rRNA from 1 species
AUUGAACGCCGGCGGCAGGCCUAACACAUGCAAGUCGAACGGCAGCACAGAAGAGCUUGCUCUUUGGGUGGCGAGUGGCGGACGGGUGAGUAAUGUCUGGGAUACUGCCCGAUGGAGGGGGAUAACUACUGGAAACGGUAGCUAAUACCGCAUAACGUCGCAAGACCAAAGUGGGGGACCUUCGGGCCUCACACCAUCGGAUGUGCCCAGAUGGGAUUAGCUAGUAGGUGGGGUAAUGGCUUACCUAGGCGACGAUCCCUAGCUGGUCUGAGAGGAUGACCAGCCACACUGGAACUGAGACACGGUCCAGACUCCUACGGGAGGCAGCAGUGGGGAAUAUUGCACAAUGGGCGCAAGCCUGAUGCAGCCAUGCCGCGUGUAUGAAGAAGGCCUUCGGGUUGUAAAGUACUUUCAGCGGGGAGGAAGGCGGUGAGGUUAAUAACCUCGCCGAUUGACGUUACCCGCAGAAGAAGCACCGGCUAACUCCGUGCCAGCAGCCGCCGUAA